GACGACUAGUUAGUUAAAAAGGUUGGAUGUUGCUUUACAUGUAGUGGGACAUCCCAAUGGACCCCCAUAGAUACCAGUAGGCAAAUAAAAAAGAGAAAAUUAUUAUUCUGGCUUACUCGAAUAUGAGAUUAUGAUAUUGUUGAGCUAUUGUCUCUAUAUGUCGGUUUUGAAAAUCUUCCAAACGGUAAGUGUGCAAUAAAUAGUUUUACUUAU
rnacentral:lncRNA from 1 species